GAGUUUGAUCAUGGCUCAGGAUGAACGCUAGCGGGAGGCCUAACACAUGCAAGCCGAGCGGGAUUUGUUGGUUAGCUUGCUAACUGAUAAUGAGAGCGGCGUACGGGUGCGUAACACGUGUGCAACCUGCCUUUAUCUGGGGGAUAGCCUUUCGAAAGGAAGAUUAAUACCCCAUAAUAUAUUGAUUGGCAUCGAUUAAUAUUGAAAGCUGAGGCGGAUAGAGAUGGGCACGCGUAAGAUUAGCUAGUUGGUGAGGUAACGGCUCACCAAGGCUGCGAUCUUUAGGGGGCCUGAGAGGGUGAUCCCCCACACUGGUACUGAGACACGGACCAGACUCCUACGGGAGGCAGCAGUGAGGAAUAUUGGACAAUGGGUGAGAGCCUGAUCCAGCCAUCCCGCGUGAAGGACUAAGGACCUAUGGUUUGUAAACUUCUUUUAUACAGGGAUAAACCUACUCUCGUGAGGGUAGCUGAAGUACUGUAUGAAUAAGCCCCGG
rnacentral:rRNA from 1 species